UAAGGUGACUAUAGCGAUGGGGUUCCACCUCUUCCCAUACCGAACAGAGAAGUUAAGCCUAUCAGCGCCAAUGGUACUGCAGUCGCGGGAGAGUAGGUCGUUGCCGACU
rnacentral:rRNA from 1 species